rnacentral:rRNA from 1 species
UCUUCCCUCUGGCGGCGUGCUUAACACAUGCAAGUCGAACGGGAAUUAUUUUAUUGAAACUUCGGUCGAUUUAAUUUAAUUCUAGUGGCGGACGGGUGAGUAACGCGUGGGUAACCUGCCUUAUACAGGGGGAUAACAGUCAGAAAUGGCUGCUAAUACCGCAUAAGCGCACCGAGCUGCAUGGCUCAGUGUGAACAACUCCGGUGGUCUAAGAUGGACCCGCGUUGGAUUAGCUGGUUGGUGGGGUAACGGCCCACCAAGGAGACGAUCCAUAGCCGGCCUGAGAGGGUGAACGGCCACAUUGGGACUGAGACACGGCCCAGACUCCUACGGGAGGCAGCAGUGGGGAAUAUUGCACAAUGGGGGAAACCCUGAUGCAGCGACGCCGCGUGAAGGAAGAAGUAUCUCGGUAUGUAAACUUCUAUCAGCAGGGAAGAUAGUGACGGUACCUGACUAAGAAGCCCCGGCUAACUACGUG